UACAGAGGGUGCGAGCGUUAAUCGGAAUGACUGGGCGUAAAGGGUGCGUAGGUGGAUAAGUAAGUCGAACGUGAAAAGCCUGGGCUUAACCUAGGUCGUGCGUGCGAUACUGUUUUUCUGGAGUAUGGCAGAGGAGAGUGGAAUUUCCAGUGUAGCGGUGAAAUGCGUAGAUAUUGGAAGGAACACCAGUGGCGAAGGCGACUCUCUGGGCCAAUACUGACACUGAGGCACGAAAGCGUGGGGAGCAAACAGG
rnacentral:rRNA from 1 species